UACGUAGGGGGGCAAGCGUUGUCCGGAAUCAUUGGGCGUAAAGCGCGUGUAGGCGGCCCGGUAAGUCCGGUGUGAAAGUCACAGGCUCAACCUGUGAAUGCCGCUGGAAACUGUCUGGCUUGAGUCCGGAAGGGGCGAGUGGAAUUCCUGGUGUAGCGGUGAAAUGCGCAGAUAUCAGGAGGAACACCAAUGGCGAAGGCAGCUCGCUGGAACGGUACUGACGCUGAGGCGCGAAAGCGUGGGGAGCGAACAGG
rnacentral:rRNA from 1 species